GUCCGCAGACAGACGCUAUUGCGACACCAGCGCGGUCCGACUCCUUUGAUUCAAUAACAAUCACUCGUUAAAAAAGACGAAUCGAAUGAAUUCUAGCAAACAAAAUAGAAAUGUAACCCAUUCAAAUUUAAUUAGCUAAAAUUAUCGUGUACUGGAUACAGCUCAUCGGUUUUUCAUAUUAAAAAAUUACAUAUAGUUUUCCUAAAGAGACCGCGCCUGACAGUUAGGCCUAACGUUACUCAUCAACACUCAAUAUAUCCGGACCGAACGGUUUUUCUGACGCUAUUAUCAUCGCAAACCUCACAGAAACCAUCUAAAAACUAUACUCUUCGUGGCAUUUAAACAUCAAACAACACUAGAUUGAUCAUUAAAUAAAUUAAAUAACUUAAGUUACCUUUUAGCAGCUGAAGUACUCCUCUUGAGAACUGUGUCCGCCGAAAUCUCCUCAGGAUUAACCGCAGAUCUUUCUGUAGAAGAAGCGUCUGUCAGGAGAAGUGUUUAGAGUCGCGCGGCUCUGCUCCAUCAUCUCCUCACCGACGCCGAGACUGAGCCGACAGCGCCGCAGUUCAGCCGGCAGCUUGCUAUCUGUGUCCGCUGAAUGUAGAUGUAGUGCGGUUAACAAAGUAAUUGAUUGCAAUAGUCCGAAUGUGCGAAUAUAAAACCAACUCUCUUUUCUUUUCUCCGCUACAUCAUGUCGACUCAUGGACAUGUAGCGUCAAGAAAUGAAGAGUUUCAGCCCCGGAAGGAUUAUAUGGGUCUGGCGGGUAAAAUAAGAGAGAUGCAGCGGCCAGCGGAGCAGCCAAACGCGGCCGAUGAGAGCGAGGAGUCUCCGCACGGGACGCUGUCGACGGAUAAAACGCGGAACAAAGACCCGGAACGCGGCAAGAGCAUCAGCACCGGCCCAGUCGAGAAUAAAUUCUGCGGCUUUACCAACACAACGGAGAGACUCACACAACUUAAGAGACCGCGCCGGAGCCGUGAUUCACCCGAACACUGAAAACAACGAAAAUGGAGGAUUGUUUGCAAAAAUGCAUUUAGUAUUUACAACAUGAUUCAUUUAUGUUUCUCCUCUAAACAUAUUUUAGUCUUGUCAUCCAAUUAAUGUUGAAGGAUUAAUCAUGUGUAAUAAUUUAGUUAUGUUUUCUCUGGAAACUCCGCCCCCUUGGACCGCGCGAGGAACACUAAUUAACGGCUCUCCAGUCCGCCAUCUUCUCUCUCGCUGGAGCUGCGCAUCGGUGGAUUACAACAGUGUGAAACGGAACGCAGUCCUAGGACCGCAUUUCUAGGACCCUAGGUUUUUAGUGACAGCGCCACCGACCGAAUUAGAGGACCAGCGAAGAUGGAUGACAGUCAGGGUUGAAGUGGAAGAAUUGAACAGGGUGCUAGAGAAACAACUGAGAAAAGAGGAGUCCGUGAAGACGUCGUCCAUGAAGUUCUUUCUAUGUGGUUCACGUCAUGAACAAAUUUGUUUUUGUGUGUGUUCAAGUUCAACUGUU